CAUAUAUUGAAAGAUGAGUUUACUGUUACUACUGUUCAUCAAGGGGUGGAAAAGACGGUUCUGCCCUCAUUUGAAUUUUUUUUACGCUCUGCCACUGACCUUUUUUUUUUCCUUCUCUCUUCGUCCAGAAGCCUCCUAGACCGACUUUUUGCUCUCUCCCCUGCUUUCUAAACAGCCUCCUUCACUCCCUCAGACGACUAAAUCGGCGGAAAGAGAGAGUGAAAGUUGGAUCUGCUGCUGUUGGUUGCUUUAAGAUACAGAGGCUGGGUUGAAAACGAGUACGAAAUCUCACCGUCUACGAGUACGACAUCUGGGUUCAGAGUUGAAGCUAUUAACUUGCUUCUUUCAUUAGUUAAUCUAACGAGAUUUUAUGCAAAAAAGUAUUGGUACCGUCUUUCUGCUGCUGUUCCAUUGUCUGUUACUUAGUAUUAUCUUGCUUUCCCAUUUUGAUUCAGAUUUUGGGAACAGUUUGCAGUCAGAUUCCUUGAAUCUUUUGGAUCCAGAGUGUGUAAUGCCAAGAGGUAUAUGUAAGGGUAGGAGCAGCUCAAGUUUAGAAAAUUAGUAAAUAUUCAAUUUAAGGGCAAUGAACUCGAAACUUUCCGGAUCCCAAGUUGACAUGCUAAGGUACAACAUACUAAAAUUUCAAGCAAAUUGGAGUUCAGCAAACAUGGCAAAAGAUGGAUGGAAACAGACUGAAUUGUGCAGUUUUCUUCAGAGUUUUUGUAGCAACCUGGAAUGUAAGAGGGAAAUCUCUCCAUAGUGACCUUAAUCUGCACGAUUUUCUGCAGCUUGAUAAUCCAUCAGACAUAUAUGUCUUGGGCUGACUUCGAUAAGAUUGGACAAGGUGGUUUUGGGGCUGUUUACUAUGCCGAGCUGACAAGCAAGAGAAAGGGACGAGACGAAACAAAAAGAGAGAGAGAGAGAGAGACAAGAGAACAGGCAAGAACGAAAAGAAGGAGAAGAGAGAGACGGGAAGCUCUUGCUUAGAUUGUACUUUUUGCGUUUUAAACAGCUCCAGUUUUUAACAAGAAGGUCGGCUACUUUGUCUAUGUAAUUUUUCUGAUGGAGAUCUUCAACAUCAGUGUAGGUUAUUUGUUUGGAACAAAUAAACACUACAGACUGAAAGCACACUGGAAGAUUACAUGAUGAUAGUUACUGAUGUUGGAUUUAGAACAAAUCUCCUGAACAGAAUAAGGACAAGUAUGAUCGUAGAGUUCUACGAGUUCAGAGUUGAUGAGUAAAAUAGAGGCAAUGUUUGAAGCUGAACUUGAGAGGUUAGGGCUAAACAGCAGUACUUCUACUUUGGAGCGAAGAUUAAUUUGAGAGCUUCCAAACAGUGUUCAUCAAGUUUCUGAAGAUUACAUUUGGGAAAACUCUAAUACUUUACAGGCCAGUGUUUACAUCAGAGGAAGUCAAGCCAUAACAUCAACAACUAGAACUUGCCUGGUGGCUCCAAAUGAUCACAGAACACUAAGCCUAGAUGCUUUACAAAAGAAUGCACCAACUGUGAAGAACAGACUGCUGCUGUUUGAUUUGUAGCACCAUCGAGGUGGAAGCAGCUUCUAAGGAUUAUGCUCAUGUCAAAGCGUCCUAAAAUCCCCCCUUCUGGCCCAAGCCACAGGACCAACAAGACACCUAAUCCCUCGAGAGAUUACUAAACACUUCUAUUAUUUGUAUACAGAGAACGCAUUUCCAACUGAAGUUUGGUUGAAUUUUUUGGCAAACUUCUUCAUGUGUUUCUGAUUUUGUUUGAUGGGUUUGAUUAUUCUUCUAUCG